UACGGGGGGUGCGAGCGUUGUCCGGAAUCACUGGGCGUAAAGGGCGCGUAGGUGGCCUGAUAAGGGUGUGGUGAAAGUCCGGGGCUCAACCCCGGAUCUGCCGUGCCGACUGUUGGGCUGGAGUACUGUAGGGGCAGGCGGAAUUCCGGGUGUAGCGGUGGAAUGCGCAGAUAUCGGGAGGAACACCAAUGGCGAAGGCAGCUCGCUGGGACGUGACUGACGCUGAGACGCGAAAGCGUGGGGAUCAAACAGG
rnacentral:rRNA from 1 species